UUUGGUCAUUUUAGUUUUUGAGUGCUAUUUUUGUGAUAGAAACUUAGAAAUGUGCUAUUUUGGAGAUUUGCCCAAAAAUUUAUGUUUUUUCUAUUUUAAAUAUUUACGAAUGUACGACAAAAAAAUACAUAAAAUAUUGUUUAAAAUUAUAUAAAUGAAAAAACACAGAAAACAUAUAUUUAAUUAAUCAUAAUUUUUUUAUGAGAUUUAAUAUUUUAGUUGGUUAAGUUAAUAUUGUAAAACCAAAAUUGAUUUCAGUAAAUUUCAGAUUACAUAUGUCAAACUAUUGCAAAAUCUACUUAGGAAAAUAGGGCGGUAUACUAAUGAAUCUGCUAAAUCCAUACUGCUAAAAUCCAAAAUACUUAAAUGCCCGUAGAAUUUUUUGGUAAACAAUAAAUUAGAUUUCUACAUUACCCUUUUUAUGCGUUGCUGAGUUAGUAAAAAAAAUGUAAUUGCUGAGAUGAUGAUGGUGAGAAACCGCAAUAAAUUAUGGUUUUAACUUUUAUCAAAACCAAAGAAACAGCAUUAAAUUAUAGUGCAAACUGACGAAUUAACUAGUCUGGUCAUGGGUAACGUAAACUAAUUAAAGUUAUACUAAUCUAGGAGAAUGGAUAACUAAAGUUUCUGCCAAACUCUACUACACAGAUAUUAACGAUUUCUGCCAACCCUCUAUAUAUCUAUACUAUAUUAAAAGGGAUAUAUGAGCUCCAUUAAGCCUAUCCACCUCAGCAUAAAAAAUUAUCCAAUUAAAACAUAAGUAAUUGACACAUCAGAUGACACAUCCUAUUUUCUUCAAUCGACGACCUUUCUUCCAAAAAGUUAUUGUUUCCCUUUCGUAUUCCCUUCUGAACCCUUCUUCCAACUUCAAUUAUAUCCCAGCUCCAAUCAAUCGAUUCCUCGCCUGCCUCAUCUUCAUCCUCCAAUGGCAAGGGUUGAUUGCUCGAACCUAGCUCGAAGCUCUUCCCCUUCUUUUCCUUACUACCGUGAUUGGAACUUCGGUGUUGAUUCCAAUCUAAAGCCUAAGAUAUGUAUCACGACUAGCACAUCAGCUGGAUUGGAUCAGAUUCUACCGUGGAUGUUCUACCAUAAGGUUCUUGGCGUAUCCACGUUUUUUCUUUUUGUAUAAGGGAAAGCUGCUACGCCCACCAUUUCUAAAGUUCUCGAGUCUAUUCCUGUGAGUUCUAGCUUCUUAGACUCUUAGUCCUCUAGGUGUUUGUUGACUAAGAUAAUUAUAUGCCCGGAUUUUUAAAAUUAAGAUUACUCCAUUAUCACUGAAUAAAGCUAAAACGAGUGAAAAACUAUGCAUCUAAAGGUAAAAAUAAAUUAAUGACAAUCCUAAUUUUUCUUGGUUCUCUUAAACUGAAACGCUUCAUCUAUUCCUUUUCCUCCUGCGAAAAUUUUUGUUUUUUGGUAUCAUACAUUUUAACUUACAAAAUUGCUUCCUUUUUGUCUUUUAGUAGGCUUAGAAGAAGCAUAAAAAUGAUGGUGUAAAACCGAAGAGACCAUAAAAAAAGGAGGAGGAAGAUAGAAAAAAGACAUGGAGAAGUCAAAGAAAGGAUAAAAGGUAAAAGUGAUUCCUUUGUUUAUUGCUGUGUUUUUCUACCGUUAGAUAUCCACUCCUUAUCAUCACAGUUUAUGCAGUCUAUAGUGCAUGGAGUUAAGUUAGAUGAUGUUGCUCGGUUACUGAAUCGUGCUCGCAACUACUCAGCUGUGUGCUUACAUGGCUUAUAUCAGCCGAGAAUAUAAGAAAAGGUAAUACGUUUUAUUUCUUCUUUGAAGUGCAUGUCUCUCUAUCUUUAUUAGUUAAGUAGAUACUCAUAAGCAAGAAAAACGUAUAUUGAGUUUUCUGGUCCUUCCAGAAAAGUAUGGAGAAUGAGAUGUUAGGUGAAGCUUUUAAGAAGCUUCAGAACCCAUAUGAGAUAGUGAUUGUGGUUCAUCAUUUGUAUCGGCGCAUCAAGUUCAUCCAUCUCUGAUCUCCCUAGCUGUUUCUAUUGGGGGUAAGUCUUGAUAUUUGUUUGUUUUUUUCCAUUCACAAGAGAAUAGUUGAGUUUGCGAAGUGAUCCUUUUGAUGAUUGCACUCAGAAGGACUUAAACAAGCCACUGAUUAUUGCAGCCAAAACCAACAUGGAGGUGUUGUUAGAGGUGGUUGAGGAAGAGGCCAAGCUGGUGGUGGCAAAGCCGCAAAGACAAUAAAGGUGGCCUAGCUAAAUAUUGUCGUGUCUAAAAUUGAGAUUGAAAAAUGGAAUAAAAAGUUCUAACAUGGUAUUAGGAAGAACGUGUAGAUAACAAAAACUGAAGGUUUUCUACAUUUGUGGAUCAUCGGGUGAACACGCUCCUGUCUCUAGGAGUAUCCGGAGCUAAAUCCUUUGUUGCUCAGAUUUGUGCAAUGAUCUUUUUUUGUAAUUCAGUGGCUACAUGAGAGUUUUUUCUGAUUGACUCAGAGUUUAGAGUCUACAACGAGUGUACGGUAGGAGACGGUAAUGAUGAUAGAGCUGAAUGAUAGCGGUGAAUGACUGACUCAUCACACGAUCGGGAAGAAGUAUAAGCUGAAGGCGAACGGUGAAGACGGACCAGUCAUUUUCUUAUGCAAGGAAGACAGGAAUGAUUCCAUCUCCAUCAGUAACUUAACUCUCUUCACACUCAAGAUGGUGUGGUUACAGUUCUCUGUUCUCUCGACUCUUGAGUUGUUAGUUAUCUAAUGGUAAGAUAUUUUCUCUGUAUGUAAACUUGAUCGUCCACGAAUUAACUCUCAUGUAUUUUGGUUUCUAUUUGUCAGAACAGAGUAUGUCGAUGAUUUUAGCCCAUAACAGUUGUCAGUAAAUUGACUUGAUUUACUUUGGUAAAUUAUUUACGUGUUAAGUUCAUCAACUUGACUCAAGUCAUGUACGAUCACACUCACCCACCUAGAACAAGAGAUUCAACAGGCCAAAUCCCAAGAAAAAAAGUCUACAUGUCUUUCCGUAUAAGUAUGUACAUAUAUAAUUAUUUAUUUCACCGAAUAUCUUAAAGUAACUAUUUUGAUUACUGAUGGUUAUAUAGUUAGGGCCAGUGUUUUGAAACCCGACCCGGAUCCGCGGUUGAACCGGUAAACCCGGUGAUCCAGAAAAAAUCCGGUUUGAGUUUUGUGAAAAAUCCAAUAUUUAGAAACCUAAAACCCGAAAAAACCCACUAAAACCCGGAACCCGAUACCGGUUGAACCACUGGUUAAACCAAUAAAUAACUUUUACGUCAUUUUUUUUAGUUUUUAGAUUAUGUUUUAUAUUCUAAGUUUCCAAUUAAGAAGUUUGACAAAAAAAAAAGUUAGGCAUUUCGUUUUCAGUUUUAUAUAUGUGAUUUUUAGAUUUUGGUGAAAACUUCACUAUGCCACUUGAAGAAAAUGAAGUGAACAAGGGUAGAGAGAACUAAAAUUAGUUGAUGUGAUUUGGUGUUAGUUUAUUUCUACUAUUGACAAUUUAUUACAAUGAUCUUUUACUUUUGGUUUAUUUUUAAUUUGAAGUUUAAUUUAUUAUUCACAUUAGAUAUUUAAAUAUUUAAGAAUUUUAUAUCUUGACUUUUUUAGAUUCAGAAAAUUUUAAAUAAUCUAAACUAUAUUUUGAUAUUUUGUAUGUCAAAGAAAAAUAAAAAUAUAAAAAUUAAAGUUAAGUAUUUUCUAAAUACUUUUUAAACAUAAUAUAUAUAUAUAUAUCUAAACUAUUAUUUUAUGUUUUAAAAAACAUUUAAAAUAUAUAGUAAACUUUUUUUUUUUCAUAGAUAAUAUAUUAUUAUAUAAUAAAAUUAAUUCAUUUAUAAAUCCGCGGUUGACCCAAUGACCCAUCGACCCGGUAAGUCGUCCGGUUCAGUGUCCGGAUCGGGUUUAAAAACAUUGGUUAGGGCGUAUUCAUUGGAGUGUCUCUCCUAGGAGGAGAUCAACAGCAACGUGGACUACCCAUUGGUCCUGGCAAUAUCAGUUCUGGUACAUAACAGUUUCAUUUAUAUGACUGAAAAAUCCGUAGAUUAAAAAAACUGAAAAUUUGUGAACAAAUGAGGAAAUGCAAUGCAAAGCAGCAGAAGUGGUGUUUGAUAUAGAAUACACGAGCUGGCUGAAGGAAAAACAGAGGUUGUUUAAUUAAGUGUGGCGACUCAAGAGCACCUGACCAGGAGCGAGCUUAGGAUGUUUUUUCUCUCCAUAUUUUUUUUUGCAGAGAUUUAUGUCUGCGAAAAUGGAGAAAAUAGAAUGAUUCAGAAGAUAAUCUACAGUUCCAUUCAGAGAAAUGUCGAAGAUCAUGGCUGAUUUGGUGAAUAUUGAGUCUUCAGCUAAGUUCUACUACAAACAAUUUUUUUUCACAAUUUACAACGAUAGUUAUUCUGAUAUUUAAUUCGGGCUGGAUUACAAAUCUUUCAUUUAGUUUUCAAUAACUAAUCGCACAUUUAAUUUUCAGAGCUUUGUGCUAAUGUUGAUGUGUGUGUGCGUGUUGAUCACUUGGACAUGACCAACCUACUUUGUGAUUGAUUUGGAUAUGCACAAGUUCAAUUAUAUCUUUGAGGGAUAGGAUCUAGAUUCAUUUCGUGAAUUACCGAUAUAUUACACUUAUAACUAACAAACAAUGAUGGAGAUUCCAGAUCUUAUCCACUACAAAGAUCACAUAAAGAGAAAAUAAUCAAUCUACUAAUCACCGGGUGAGCAAAGAGACAGGCUACGUUAGAAUACAAUUCUGAAGAAACGAACCACUCCUCAUAUUAUUUAUUUUGUAUUUCAAAGUCAAAGAUAUACUUGGACUCACGUCCUUAUCUUUUAGUACUGUAGGGUAUGAAACUACAUGGGAAAAAUAUGUUUGUUUAUAUUAUGGAUUAAGUACGCAUAUAUAUGAGCUUUGUCGUAGAGGUUUACGUAUUUGUAUUAAAGAGGCAAAAGAAAAAAAAACCAAUGUCCUUUUUGUAAACCAAUGUAACCAGGAUUGCUCCGAAAAUACAUUUGUUCUAUAAAUUUCGUUAAGCAGUGACAGUAAGAGACGACAUAAAGCAAGCAAAUUUUAGGUGAACAAUUGUUUCUAUAUAUAUUUGAAACUAUUUAAGAAAAAAUUAUAUUAUCAAAUUAAAUGGCAUCUGAUAUUGCAUCUAAAGCUGUUUUUAAUUAUUCUCAAAUCUAACACUACAACAUUUUGUAAAGAUGCCAAGCAUUUAUAUUCUAUAGACGAAGAGACCAUCAAUCUUGGACAACAUCUCCUAUGUUCUGGGACACAACCAAACCAAAAACACCACCGAGUAGCACAAAAUAUAGAACUACAAUUUUAAGAUGAAAUAUUAACAAUAUAAUAACACAUAUCGCAUUAAACACUAGAAAAAGAACAAAAAGAAACAAAUAAAACACAUCCACAAUUAGCUUCUUUUUUUUUGGCAACCCACAAUUAGCUUAUAAUCAAAUAUGUCCACUCUAAUUGCUCACCUAAAAUAUAAUAUAAUUACCAGAAAAAUUAUCAAACCCAUCUGAUAUAGGUACAUACCCAAAAAUUACAUUAUCACUUCCAUCUAGAUUAAUAAAUCACACAAACUUCGGAAAAACAUCACAUAAUAAAUCUUAUAAAAAAUAAC